UUUUUGGGAAUGGACCAAUACCAUCCCCUUGCAGUGUUUCUUCCGGUCAAGCACCGGCAACCACUGCUGCCAGCUAAAAAAGUAGGUGGGUUCGAGAUCCAGAAUCUACACUCCCAUCUUAUCCUUACCAAGUCGGAUCCGUGUGUUUCCCACCUGAACAGAUUCGACCCAACAAUUACUUUCGAUAUCUCAUUCUCGAGUCUGAACCGUUCUCAACUUCCCGUGGAAAUCUCUUCUUCGGACCACGCUGGUCAAAACAACAGGACAUCCCGGGGGAAGUCCCUACCCUUUUUUUGCGAUUUUCUCCGAAGGGUGGUGCUUAAAGUAAGGGCCAUACAAUAUGGUAAUGAGAAGAGUGGAACAGAAGCACUUUUCCAUUAUUUUUAUUUUUAAUUGGAAUCUCAAAUUUUGAACGGCAAAAUCUUCCUUCAUCCUACUGUUCAGAAAAUCAAAAGAAGACCCAUAGGACAUGUAAUCAGAAACAUUUUUAUAUGGAUUCAGUUGUAAUGGAUAUUAUUAGACUAUCAAUCUGAAAUGAUUCAAGUUAA